rnacentral:misc_RNA from 1 species
GUGUCAGGACACGAUAGAGCGGAGACGUGUACCAUGUAAGCUAAUAACGUUUACUGUUGUUCCCCACGGGAAAAGCACAGAAAUAAAACUCACAAUCUUAUAAAGAGUAUUCUUCAAAGUCCAGGAAACUGUACGAAGAAGGAGAGAGUCAUGGUUGAUCGAAUCGAUAGGCCAAUAAUAUAUAAGUUAACCCGUAAACAGUAAUCAAUGAUUGAAUCCUUUUCAUAAUGAUAUUUUGAUAUUCUGGAGAAAGGUACAUGCAAUGCCGAUGGCGAUAAGACACAGUACCAGUCUAGGCUAGAGAGCAGAAAAACAUCGAGCGUCCGCAGGCGUCCGUAAACAUGGUUCAUAUACCAUGAUACGUCUAGUGUUGGGAUGUUCAUAUGGCGCUGUUACAAGAACGAAACCAGCACCAAGCUGGAAUCAUUACAUGAAUCCAACCAGCACCUAACAGGAACUGUUAUAAUAAUCCAGCUAACACCCAACAGGAACUGUACCGGAAUCCAACCAACACCCAGCAGGAUCUGUUACAGGAAUCCAACCAGCACCCAACAGGACCUGUAAUAACAAUCCAGCUAACACUCAACAGGAACUGUUACACGAUUCCAGCCAACACCCAACGGGAACUGUUACAGGAAUCCAACCAGCAGCUAACGGUAACUGACGCGCGGUGCAAUAAUAUCGUCAUCGAGAAUGAUGGGUAGCAAAUUCCUGAACCUCAUCGUCGUCGGCUGCGUCGUCUGUGUGUUGCUGCUGACGCUGACGCUGCACCAGAGCGUACGCUCGAGCGUGUUCAUCCGCAGUCGCACGCACUACCGCCCCACCGACGGCAACUGGAUCGACGUCGUCGUCGCCACGAGCGAACCCCCCGGCGUCGCCAAGUGGACGAACCACACGGAGCG